UUCAUUUACCUGAUUGGAAGAAAUUCAUGGGCAGGAAUGACUUUUAGUUGCAGAAUUUUGCCAGUUGCAUUCAUUUAAAAAAAAUGUUUUUGGUGGAGCCAGGGAUUUCAACUGCUCUACUGGAGUUGUGUGAUCCGUCUUCUGAGUAUCGCCAGAAUUUCGAAUCGCGAUGGUCGUCCCCUCCCUAGAGGAGCUGGACUCCUUCAAGUACAGCGACCUGCAGAACUUAGCCAAGAGUCUGGGUCUCUGGGCCAACCUGAGGGCAGACAAGUUGCUAAAAAGCCUUGAAAGGCCACAUUAAUCAUGAGGCAAGAAAAGGAAAUGAGAAUCAAGAUGAAAGUCAAACUUCUGCAUCCUCUUGCGAUGAGACUGAGAUACAGAUCAGCAGCCAGGAACAUGCAUAGAGAGAGCCAACUGGCCAUGUCACCAAAACAAGGAGAAGGCACAGACUGUCGGUGUGGACCCUGACUCCCAGCAGGAUCAUUCAGAAAUAAAAAUAAGCGAUCCCACUAAAUUUCAGAAUCAUGAAAAGCAGGAAAGCCAGGAUUUCAGAGCUACUGCAAAAGGUUAUUCUCCAGAUGAGCACCAAGGAGCUGAGAAUGCUGUUUCCUCAGGAAAACGUGGAAUAAAUGGUAACAAAGACUCAAAGAUACCUUCAGAAAGAAAGAAGUCUCUCUACACAGAUGAGUUAUCCAAACCUGGAAAAAAUAAAAGAACUGCAAUGACUGCUCCAAACUUUAAGAAGAUUCAUGAAGCUCAUUUUAAGAAAAUGGAGUCCAUUGAUCAAUAUAGUAAGAGGAAAAAGAAACAUUUUGAAGAAUACAAUUCCAUCAGUGAACUGAAGCAGCUCAUCAAUAAGGGAGGAGUCACGACUCCAGUACCUCCGAAAGGAAGACUCUCUGUGGCUUCUACUCCCAUUAGCCAACGACGCUCUCAAGGUCAAUCUUAUGGUCCUUCAUGUCAGAGUACCUUGGGUCUGAAGGGGUCACUCAAGCACUCUGCUAUCUCUGCAGCUAAAACAGGUGUCAGGUUUUCAGCUGCUACUAAAGAUGAUGAGCAUGAGCGUUCACUGCCCAAGACUCUAGCCAGAAGGUCUGCACAUGUGACCAUGUCUGGGAACACCCCAAAAGACAGGGCUAUGCUUGGGACACACAAAAUAAAGACCACCAAGAGGAAUUCUGCUGGAAAACUUAAACCACGGGGGCAAUCUGAAGAAAAUAAUUAUCUGAAUGGACAUGUCAACAGAAUUAAUUUCCACAAGAAAACUUACAAACAACCCCGUUUCCAGACAAAGGAAGAGCAACGGAAGAAACAUGAGCAAGAACGAAAGGAGAAGGAAGCAAAGAUUUUGGGAGUGCCAAGGGGCCUCAUUUUGGCUGAAGAUAAGUAAUUUUUUAACAUCUUGUAAAUAUUCCUGUAUUCUGAACUAUUUUUCCUUUUGUAAUUUUUUUUUUUUUUGCUUUCUUCCCCACUUUAGUCAUGAGAUCUUUUUCUGCUAACUGUUCAUAUUCUAUGUAAUGUCCAUGGGUUCUUCAUGUGCUACAAUCUCUGAAAAGACAUUAUCACCUUAAAGCUCAAAUUCUUUGGGAUGGAUUUUGUUUAAGUCCCUAUACAACUCAGUUUUCUAAUGAGACCCA